rnacentral:rRNA from 1 species
UAGGGAAUCUUCGGCAAUGGGGGGAACCCUGACCGAGCAACGCCGCGUGAGUGAAGAAGGUUUUCGGAUCGUAAAGCUCUGUUGUUAAGGAAAAACGAGUGUGAGAAUGGAAAGUUCAUGCUGUGACGGUACCUAACCAGAAAGCCACGGCUAACUACGUGCCAGCCGCCGCGGUAAUACGUAGGUGGCAAGCGUUGUCCGGAAUUAUUGGGCGUAAAGCGCGCGCAGGUGGUUUAGAAAGUCUGAUGUGAAAGCCCACGGCUCAACCGUGGAGGGUCAUUGGAAACUAAUAAACUUGAGUGGAGGAGAGAAAAGUGGAAUUCCUAGUGUAGCGGUGAAAUGCGUAGAGAGUAGGAGGAACACCGGUGGCGAAAGCGGCUUUUUGGCCUGCAACUGACACUGAGGCGCGAAAGCGUGGGGAGCAAACAGG